UUCGGGAGGCACCCGUAGGGAAUCUUCCCCAAUGGACGAAAUUUUGACGGAGCAACCCCGCGUGAAUGAUGAAGGUUUUCGGAUCGGAAAACUCUGUUGUUAGGGAAGAACAAGUCCCUUUUGAAUAAGGCGGGACCUUGACGGUACCUAACCAGAAAGCCCCGGCUAACUACGUGCCAGCAGCCGCGGUAAUACGUAGGUGGCAAGCGUUUUCCGGAAUUAUUGGGCGUAAAGGGCUCGCAGGCGGUUUCUUAAGUCUGAUGUGAAAGCCCCCGGCUCAACCGGGGAGGGUCAUUGGAAACUGGGGAACUUGAGUGCAGAAGAGGAGAGUGGAAUUCCACGUGUAGCGGUGAAAUGCGUAGAGAUGUGGAGGAACACCAGUGGCGAAGGCGACUCUCUGGUCUGUAACUGACGCUGAGGAGCGAAAGCGUGGGGAGCGAACAGGAUUAGAUACCCUGGUAGUCCACGCCGUAAACGAUGAGUGCUAAGUGUUAGGGGGUUUCCGCCCCUUAGUGCUGCAGCUAACGCAUUAAGCACUCCGCCUGGGGAGUACGGUCGCAAGACUGAAACUCAAAGGAAUUGACGGGGGCCCGCACAAGCGGUGGAGCAUGUGGUUUAAUUCGAAGCAACGCGAAGAACCUUACCAGGUCUUGACAUCCUCUGACAAUCCUAGAGAUAGGACGUCCCCUUCGGGGGCAGAGUGACAGGUGGUGCAUGGUUGUCGUCAGCUCGUGUCGUGAGAUGUUGGGUUAAGUCCCGCAACGAGCGCAACCCUUGAUCUUAGUUGCCAGCAUUCAGUUGGGCACUCUAAGGUGACUGCCGGUGACAAACCGGAGGAAGGUGGGGAUGACGUCAAAUCAUCAUGCCCCUUAUGACCUGGGCUACACACGUGCUACAAUGGACAGAACAAAGGGCAGCGAAACCGCGAGGUUAAGCCAAUCCCACAAAUCUGUUCUCAGUUCGGAUCGCAGUCUGCAACUCGCCUGCGUGAAGCUGGAAUCGCUAGUAAUCGCGGAUCAGCAUGCCGCGGUGAAUACGUUCCCGGGCCUU
rnacentral:rRNA from 1 species